rnacentral:rRNA from 1 species
AGCAGCCGCGGUAAUACGGAGGAUGCAAGCGUUAUCCGGAUUCAUUGGGUUUAAAGGGUGCGCAGGCGGAGAAUUAAGUCAGUGGUGAAAUCCUGCAGCUUAACUGUAGAAUUGUCAUUGAUACUGGUUUUCUUGAAUGCAGUUGAGGUAGGCGGAAUGUGUAAUGUAGCGGUGAAAUGCUUAGAUAUUACCCAGAACACCGAUUGCGAAGGCAGCUUACUAAACUGUGAUUGACGCUGAGGCACGAAAGCGUGGGGAGCGAACAGGAUUAGAUACCCUGGUAGUCCACGCUGUAAACUAUGAUCACUCGUUGUUGGCAAUACAUCGUCAGCGACUGAGCGAAAGCAUUAAGUGAUCCACCUGGGGAGUACGAUCGCAAGAUUGAAACUCAAAGGAAUUGACGGGGGCCCGCACAAGCGGAGGAACAUGUGGUUUAAUUCGAUGAUACGCGAGGAACCUUACCUGGGCUUAAAUGCAUAACGACGGACCGGGAAACUGGUCUUUCUUCGGACGGCAUGCAAGGUGCUGCAUGGCUGUCGUCAGCUCGUGCCGUGAGGUGUCGGGUUAAGUCCCAUAACGAGCGCAACCCUUAUCAUUAGUUGCCAGCGGGUAAUGCCGGGGACUCUAAUGAAACUGCCGGUGUAAACCGAGAGGAAGGUGGGGAUGACGUCAAGUCAGCACGGCCCUUAUGUCCAGGGCUACACACGUGUUACAAUGGUCAGUACAGAGGGAAGCUACCAGGCGACUGGAUGCUAAUCUCAAAAACUGGUCUCAGUUCGGAUCGGAGUCUGCAACUCGACUUCGUGAAGUUG